rnacentral:rRNA from 1 species
UACGGAGGUGGCAAGCGUUGUUCGGAUUUAUUGGGUGUAAAGGGCAUGUAGGCGGCUUUUUAAGUCGAUUGUGAAAGCCCUCGGCUUAACCGAGGAAUUGCGAUCGAUACUGAGAGGCUUGAGUGCAGAAGAGGAAAGCGGAAUUCCCGGUGUAAGAGUGAAAUCUGUAGAGAUCGGGAGGAACACCAGUGGCGAAAGCGGCUUUCUGGUCUGCAACUGACGCUGAAAUGCGAAAGCUAGGGGAGCAAACAGGAUUAGAUACCCCCGUA